rnacentral:rRNA from 1 species
UACGAAGGGUGCAAGCGUUAAUCGGAAUUACUGGGCGUAAAGCGUGCGCAGGCGGUUUUGUAAGUCUGACGUGAAAUCCCCGGGCUCAACCUGGGAAUUGCGUUGGAGACUGCAAGGCUGGAGUCUGGCAGAGGGGGGUAGAAUUCCACGUGUAGCAGUGAAAUGCGUAGAGAUCCGGAAGAACACCGGUGGCGAAGGCGGCUCGCUGGGCAGUGGCUGACGCUGAGGCGCGACAGCGUGGGGAGCAAACAGG